rnacentral:tRNA from 1 species
GAGGGUAUAUCUCAGUGGUAGAGUGCAUGCCUAGCACACACAAGGUCCUGGGUUCAAUCCCAGUACCUCCA